rnacentral:rRNA from 1 species
AGAGUUUGAUCCUGGCUCAGAGUGAACGCUGGCGGCGUGCUUAACACAUGCAAGUCGAACGGUAACGCAAAGUGCUUGCACUUUGGCGACGAGUGGCGCACGGGUGAGUAAUAUAUAGUUAAUGUACCUUCAAGACUGGGAUAGCCACUGGAAACGGUGAUUAAUACUAGAUACACCUUCAUAUCACAAGGUAUGAAGGGAAAUGUUUUUUCGCUUGAAGAUCAGACUAUAUCCUAUCAGUUAGUUGGUGAGGUAAGAGCUCACCAAGACGAUGACGGGUAGCGGGUUUGAGAGGAUGAUCCGCCACACUGGUACUGAGACACGGACCAGACUCCUACGGGAGGCAGCAGUGAGGAAUAUUGCACAAUGGAGGAAACUCUGAUGCAGCAACGCCGCGUGGAGGAUGACGCAUUUCGGUGUGUAAACUCCUUUUAUAUGUCAAGAAAAUGACGGUAGCAUAUGAAUAAGCACCGGC